UUGGAUGAAUACAUAAAGUAAAAGGUCUACUUGCAGGAUGUAGCAACAUACUUUCAUUUCCAUUCAUGUUGCUUUGUUUCAUGGCUGCUGCCAAUUAGAUUCGGACAACAAAAACUCCAUCACCACCUAAACUGACCGCCUCAUCUACUCCUCAUUUAUUCCAGCCACCGCCUCAUCUACUUUGCUUUCAAAUGUUUCCACCGACUGCAGUCCCUCACUAGGGGCGCUUCAUCGCCACCCGAUCCCUCAUCCGUUUGACACAACAGUCCCUCUACUUCAACAUCCGCCACAACUCUUCUUUCAAGUGGUAUUAUCAUUUAUCACCCUAACCCUACCGAUAAAGGUAUCUUAUCUCCUCUCUCAUCCAUCCCAAUUCAACUCGUCGCUUCUGCAUAUGCCGUACUCGGCCACAAAAUAUGCCUAAGCGGUGGUUUGAUUAACGAUAUUCUCUCGACAUCUGUUUCGGUUCCGGAUUGUAGGGUUAAUAAAUGGGAAAUUGGGCCUAAAAUGAGAGUUGGGAGAGAGUUUCCAGCUGCAGCGAGACGGUGAAUGACUACAUAUACGUGAUGAGUGGUUGUGUGGUGCCCGCUACCAAGCAGUUCGGUGGAGGCAAAGGAAAAAUGGAUGCAUGCUAAUGCUGUUAUAGCCCUUUCAUGGAGUCGCAACGAGUCUCCAAAUCCAGGAAAACAAAAGAUGCUCUUAAGAUACUAAAAAAGAAGCUUGGGUGGUGAAAUUGCUAGAUUUUGUAAUUGGAUAACUUUCUUAGGUUUUUACUGUAAUACAUGAAUGAAUAUGGAUCAUGAGUAUGUUACCAUUGUUUUAUUUGGGUUUUUUUGGAUGAUUGUUUUAAUGGGGUGCUGAUAUUUUGAGCCUCCUUACGUGAUUUCAAAGCAAACGGUUGGAUUGAAAUCUAACCCCCGCAAAGCGGGGAUACUUCCCUA